rnacentral:rRNA from 1 species
CAUAUCAAUAAGCGGAGGAAAAGAAACCAACAGGGAUUGCUCUAGUAACGGCGAGUGAAGCAGCAAUAGCUCAAAUUUGAAAUCUGGCGUCUUCGACGUCCGAGUUGUAAUUUGUAGAGGAUGCUUCUGAGUGGCCACCGACCUAAGUUCCUUGGAACAGGACGUCAUAGAGGGUGAGAAUCCCGUAUGCGGUCGGAAAGGCGCUCUAUACGUAGCUCCUUCGACGAGUCGAGUUGUUUGGGAAUGCAGCUCUAAAUGGGAGGUAAAUUUCUUCUAAAGCUAAAUAUUGGCCAGAGACCGAUAGCGCACAAGUAGAGUGAUCGAAAGAUGAAAAGCACUUUGGAAAGAGAGUUAAAAAGCACGUGAAAUUGUUAAAAGGGAAGGGAUUGCAACCAGACUUGCUCGCGGUGUUCCGCCGGUCUUCUGACCGGUCUACUCGCCGCGUUGCAGGCCAGCAUCGUCUGGUGCCGCUGGAUAAGACUUGAGGAAUGUAGCUCCCUCGGGAGUGUUAUAGCCUCUUGUGAUGCAGCGAGCGCCGGGCGAGGUCCGCGCUUCGGCUAGGAUGCUGGCGUAAUGGUCGUAAUCCGCCCGUCUUGAAACACGGACCAAGGAGUCUAACAUCUAUGCGAGUGUUCGGGUGUCAAACCCCUACGCGUAAUGAAAGUGAACGGAGGUGAGAACCGCAAGGUGCAUCAUCGACCGAUCCUGAUGUCUUCGGAUGGAUUUGAGUAAGAGCAUAGCUGUUGGGACCCGAAAGAUGGUGAACUAUGCCUGAAUAGGGUGAAGCCAGAGGAAACUCUGGUGGAGGCUCGCAGCGGUUCUGACGUGCAAAUCGAUCGUCAAAUUUGGGUAUAGGGGCGAAAGACUAAUCGAACCAUCUAGUAGCUGGUUCCUGCCG